rnacentral:rRNA from 1 species
AUUGAACGCUGGCGGCAGGCCUAACACAUGCGAGUCGAGCGGAUGAAGGGAGCUUGCUCCUGGAUUCAGCGGCGGACGGGUGAGUAAUGCCUAGGAAUCUGCCUGGUAGUGGGGGAUAACGUCCGGAAACGGGCGCUAAUACCGCAUACGUCCUGAGGGAGAAAGUGGGGGAUCUUCGGACCUCACGCUAUCAGAUGAGCCUAGGUCGGAUUAGCUAGUUGGUGGGGUAAAGGCCUACCAAGGCGACGAUCCGUAACUGGUCUGAGAGGAUGAUCAGUCACACUGGAACUGAGACACGGCUCAGACUCCUACGGGAGGCAGCAGUGGGGAAUAUUGGACAAUGGGCGAAAGCCUGAUCCAGCCAUGCCGCGUGUGUGAAGAAGGUCUUCGGAUUGUAAAGCACUUUAAGUUGGGAGGAAGGGCAGUAAGUUAAUACCUUGCUGUUUUGACGUUACCAACAGAAUAAGCACCGGCUAACUUCGUG